rnacentral:lncRNA from 1 species
GCCACCCUAUAUCAUGAUUAUUUUUUUUCAUACAUGUCUUUAUGCAGACAAUCAAAUCUCCCAUAUCUUUAUCAAAUUUCUUUUGCUUUAGGCUGUCCACUUUCUUUUGCUUCCACUUUCAAAUUCCACUACACCUAACAUCACCACUGUAAAACCCAACUGUCAGCCAUAUAAUCAAACAUCAGAACAUGAACCCAUCCAUCCAUACAAUCUUUGAGUUCUCAAGAAAACAGCAACGCCGAUUUCAUCAAUAGAAGCAAUCAAAACCAGUAUCAUUCAUUCACAAAGGUUCUACCUUUUCUUUAUACAUCUUUCAUUUAUUCUUUACACAAUCCCAAACCAUAUCAGACUACAUACAUUUUUCAUGAAUUCUUUGCAGAUACACAACAAAUAGAAACAGACUCCAUUCCACACCUACAAGGUUAUUUCUAUGACUCGAGCACUUCUUUUGAAACAGAAACUCAAGUUAGAACCCAUAACACAUACACUGAUUCCAUUAUAUAUAAAUUUGCAUAUGACAACAAGACCCAAACUCAAUGAUGUUUAUUUAUCGUCUGUGCAUAUGCAUACAUACAUGAAGCAUGUUUUCUAAAUAGAAAAGAAGUAGAAAUUGAAGCUCUGUUUUUAUUCUUUGUUUUCGAACUGCCGUGUCGAGUCGGGGAGAGAGCUUGAGGGCUAGGGAUCGGCGGCGGCGGUCUUCCAGCCGUGCAGUCGCCGGAAGUCAGAGGGUAGGGAGGUGGAGACUGAAGGUGGGGAUUAGAGGCGGUCGGCGAUGGCUGGUUGCUGUCGUCCGUCCGACACAGAGUGAGAGGAAGAGAGGCAGGGGCCGGGCACGCGGCGGUGGUUAGCUCCGCUAGCCACUGUGGCCGCCGGACUUCGGAGAGAUGCAGCGGCGUUCUCAGUUUGCGGGAGUGUGUGCGUGCUCGUUCGGUGAGCGAGGAACGAGAGAGAGGACGAGGUAGAGGGGUUUAAGGAUCGAGCGGCCGGCGGCCGGCGACUCUACCGCCGCCGGAGAAGGAAGAAAAGGGGGGGAAGGCGUGCUGCUGCGCGCAGCUUUGUGUGUGUGAGUAUAUGCGUGUGAUUGUGUGUGUGAGUGUGACCGAGAGAGAGAGUGAAUCUGUAUUUGUUAUGCGUGUGUGUGUGAGCGGCUGAAAGGGGGGGAAGAAAAGGGAGUGGAGUGUAGGGUUGGGCUUUGGAGUGGGCUUGAGUGUUGGGCCGGGUUUUAAUUAGUGUUGGGCUGGGUUUUAAUUAGUUUUGGGCCGAGUUUUGUUUAUAUUUCAGUUGGGCCAAUGUUUUUAUUUAAUGCUUUGGGCCUUUAAUUUAUUCAUUGGGCUGUGCAGCUUCUCCAUUUAAUUGGACUGCACUAUUUUAAUUAAUUAGACUUAUUAAGUUUGAUUAAUUAUUUUAAUUUGCAUAAUAAUAUCAUAUUAUUAUUAUGUGCAUAUUUUAAGUUAUUACUUAUUAUAUGCUAAGCAUNUGGUUUAAUUAUCAUUCCAAUAUUAAAGAAAGAUGAGUAAGAAUAUUGUUGGUGUUCUUAACUCAAGAGAAAUAUUUUCAAGUAUUUAUUUAUUAAAUUUUGAAAACCCGGCUAAGUGAAUCAUAGAAUGUUAAGCACUACACCAUGACUUAAGAUUAGAUACAAGGAGACCUAUUGAGAAUAGAUUUCUUGUAGGCUUCGAGCAUCAGAAGGAUUAGCACUGCUAUUCCGAUUCAGAGAUAAGGUUAAACGACAGGCUUUGCCUAUACAGGUGGGCAUUACUUUUACUAUACGUAUAUAGAGAUCCCCUGCGUGUCGUAGGCCUCUUAUACGAAUAUAUGCAUGAGAUGAUUUUAACUGUUAAUUUCAGUUUAUUAUUAUGCCCAAAUGAUAAAUGACUCUUAUGAAAUGAAAAUGAAAUGUUUAUGAAAUGAAAUGAUUGACUGCCAAAAAUGUUUAUGUUUUUAUAUGUAUCCUAUCUGUGUUGGUUCGCCAACUUUAAAGGAAAUCCAAUUGGGAUCCUAUGCUAGACAAAGGUCGCUAGCUAGGGUUAACGUGUACACUCAUGGAGACCGCGAGUCGCUUGCGACCGGUCUUGGCGUCCGUGGUAAGGAGGCCUCCUUCCCGGCGCGUGAUAGAAAGGAACAGAUAUGGAUCAUAUGAAGGAAAAUGAUCGGCCGAUCGACUUUAUGAAAAUGAAAGAAAUGUUUGAGUAAGCGCAGGUCUUUCAAGAAAACCCCUGUGUGUUACUGUUAUGGCAGUUCAAUUUAUAUAUGUUAUGCAUGAAUGUAUUUUCGGCUAUGCCCACUGAGUAUUUUUAUACUCAGCCCUGCAUGUAUUUCUAAAUGUGCAGGUUGAGCAGCUGAUGGAAUGGAAUGAUGUUGAGCGGGUGUUCCUUUGACAUUUCAAGAAAUGUAACCUUGAGUAUACAUCUUCAUAUGUAUAUCUCACACGUUUUCCGCUGCAAAACACUUUGAUUAGGAUAGCUCUAUGUUAUGAAGUUGUUAUACGUGUUAUUGGGUAACCCACCUUAAUCAGUUCUCAUUUAUGUGUAUGUUUUAUAAGUAUCCAAAUAAUCAU